ACACUGCUGAGGAGUCCCAUACUAAGACGAAACGGCCGUCCAGUGC
rfam:Schistosoma curassoni strain Dakar, Senegal genome assembly, scaffold: SCTD_contig0021406